AGCGAACGCUGGCGGCAGGCCUAACACAUGCAAGUCGAACGAACCCUUCGGGGUUAGUGGCGGACGGGUGAGUAACACGUGGGAACGUGCCUUUAGGUUCGGAAUAACUCAGGGAAACUUGAGCUAAUACCGAAUGUGCCCUUCGGGGGAAAGAUUUAUCGCCUUUAGAGCGGCCCGCGUCUGAUUAGCUAGUUGGUGAGGUAAUGGCUCACCAAGGCGACGAUCAGUAGCUGGUCUGAGAGGAUGACCAGCCACAUUGGGACUGAGACACGGCCCAAACUCCUACGGGAGGCAGCAGUGGGGAAUCUUGCGCAAUGGGCGAAAGCUUGACGCAGCCAUGCCGCGUGGAUGAUGAAGGUCUUAGGAUUGUAAAAUCCUUUCACCGGUGAAGAUAAUGACUGUAGCCGGAGAAGAAGCCCCGGCUAACUUCGUGCCAGCCGCCGCCCGUAAGAC
rnacentral:rRNA from 1 species